rnacentral:rRNA from 1 species
UACAGAGGUCUCAAGCGUUGUUCGGAUUCAUUGGGCGUAAAGGGUGCGUAGGUGGCGGGGUUAGUCAGGUGUGAAAUCUCGGAGCUCAACUCCGAAACUGCACUUGAUACUGCCUUGCUUGAGUACUGGAGAGGAGAUUGGAAUUUACGGUGUAGCAGUGAAAUGCGUAGAUAUCGUAAGGAAGACCAGUGGCGAAGGCGAAUCUCUGGACAGUUACUGACACUGAGGCACGAAGGCCAGGGGGAGCAAAACGGGG